CUCAGGACGAACGCUGGCGGCGUGCCUAACACAUGCAAGUCGAGCGGACCUUAAUGAAAGCUUGCUGGAUUAAGGUAGCGGCGGACGGGUGAGUAACGCGUGAGCAAUCUGUCCCAUACAGGGGGAUAAUACCGCGAAAGUGGUUCUAAUACCGCAUGAGACCACGGUAGGGCAUCCUACAGGGGUCAAAGGAGCAAUCCGGUAUGGGGUGAGCUCGCGUCCGAUUAGAUAGUAGGUGAGGUAACGGCCCACCUAGUCGACGAUCGGUAGCCGACCUAAGAGGGUGAUCGGCCACAUUGGGACUGAGACACGGCCCAGACUCCUACGGGAGGCAGCAGUGGGGAAUAUUGGGCAAUGGGCGAAAGCCCUGACCCAGCAACGCCGCGUGAAGGAAGAAGGUUCUUCGGAUCGUAAACUUCUGUCCUAAGGGAAGAGGAGAAGACUGUACCUUAGGAGGAAGCCCCGGCUAACUACGUGCCAGCAGCUGC
rnacentral:rRNA from 1 species